CCCCCCGGGAAAACUAGCAUUCAAUAAGCGGAGGAAAAGGAAACCAACAGGGAUUGCCUCAGUAACGGCGAGUGAAGCGGCAACAGCUCAAAUUUGAAAUCUGGCUUCGGUCCGAGUUGUAAUUUGCAGAGGAAGUCUCGGGUGCGAUACCGGUCUAAGUUCCUUAGAACAGGACGUCAUAGAGGGUGAGAAUCCCGUAUGCGACUGGUGGUCAACCCCAUGUGAGGCCCCUUCGACGAGUCGAGUUGUUUGGGAAUGCAGCUCAAAAUGGGUGGUAAAUUUCAUCUAAAGCUAAAUACCGGCCAGAGACCGAUAGCGCACAAGUAGAGUGAUCGAAAGAUGAAAAGCACUUUGGAAAGAGAGUUAAACAGUACGUGAAAUUGUUGAAAGGGAAGCGCUUGCAACCAGACUUGCUCGCGGGUGAUCCACCGCCCUUCGGGGUGGUCUACUCGCCCGCGAUCAGGCCAACAUCGGUUUCGGUGGCUGGAUACAGACCCCGGGAAUGUGGCUCCCUUCGGGGUGUGUUAUAGCCCGGGGUGCAAUGCAGCCCACCGGGACCGAGGACCGCGCUCCGGCUAGGAUGUUGGCGUAAUGGUUGUCAGCGACCCGUCUUGAAACACGGACCAAGGAGUCUAACAUCUAUGCGAGUGUUUGGGUGUCAAACCCAUACGCGUAAUGAAAGUGAACGGAGGUGGGAACCCCUUGGGGUGCACCAUCGACCGAUCCUGAUGUCUUCGGAUGGAUUUGAGUAUGAGCAUAGCUGUUGGGACCCGAAAGAUGGUGAACUAUGCCUGAAUAGGGUGAAGCCAGAGGAAACUCUGGUGGAGGCUCGCAGCGGUUCUGACGUGCAAAUCGAUCGUCAAAUUUGGGUAUAGGGGCGAAAGACUAAUCGAACCAUCUAGUAGCUGGACCUG
rnacentral:rRNA from 1 species